CGCGGCCUAUCAGCUUGUUGGUGGGGUAGUGGCUUACCAAGGCUUUGACGGGUAGCCGGCCUGAGAGGGUGACCGGCCACAUUGGGACUGAGAUACGGCCCAGACUCCUACGGGAGGCAGCAGUGGGGAAUAUUGCACAAUGGGUGGAAGCCUGAUGCAGCAACGCCGUGUGCGGGAUGACGGCCUUCGGGUUGUAAACCGCUUUCGCUCAUGACGAAGCUUUGUGUGACGGUAGUGGGUAAAGAAGCACCGGCUAACUACGUGCCAGCAGCCGCGGUGAUACGUAGGGUGCGAGCGUUGUCCGGAUUUAUUGGGCGUAAAGGGCUCGUAGGUGGUUGAUCGCGUCGGAAGUGUAAUCUUGGGGCUUAACCCUGAGCGUGCUUUUGAUACGGGUUGACUUGAGGAAGGUAGGGGAGAAUGGAAUUCCUGGUGGAGCGGUGGAAUGCGCAGAUAUCAGGAGGAACACCGGUGGCGAAGGCGGUUCUCUGGGCCUUUCCUGACGCUGAGGAGCGAAAGCGUGGGGAGCGAACAGGCUUAGAUACCCUGGUAGUCCACGCUGUAAACGGUGGGUACUAGGUGUGGGGUCCAUUCCACGGGUUCCGUGCCGUAGCUAACGCUUUAAGUACCCCGCCUGGGGAGUACGG
rnacentral:rRNA from 1 species